UACGUAGGGUGCAAGCGUUGUCCGGAAUUAUUGGGCGUAAAGAGCUUGUAGGCGGUUUGUCGCGUCUGCUGUGAAAUUUCGGGGCUCAACCCCGAACUUGCAGUGGGUACGGGCAGACUAGAGUGUGGUAGGGGAGACUGGAAUUCCUGGUGUAGCGGUGAAAUGCGCAGAUAUCGAGAGGAACACCAGUGGCGAAGGCGAGUCCCUGGACAACUCCUGACACUGAGGCACGAAAGCUAGGGGAGCAAACAGG
rnacentral:rRNA from 1 species